ACGGGAGGCAGCAGUGGGGAAUAUUGCACAAUGGGCGCAAGCCUGAUGCAGCGAUGCCGCGUGAGGGAAGAAGGUUUUCGGAUUGUAAACCUCUGUCAUCGGGGACGAUAAUGACUGUACCCGAGAAGGAAGCUCCGGCUAACUACGUGCCAGCAGCCGCGGUAAUACGUAGGGAGCGAGCGUUAUCCGGAAUUACUGGGUGUAAAGGAGUGUAGGCGGGACUGUAAGUCAGAUGUGAAAUAUGCCGGCUCAACUGGCAGACUGCAUUUGAAACUGCGGUUCUUGAGUGAAGUAGAGGUAAGCGGAAUUCCUAGUGUAGCGGUGAAAUGCGUAGAUAUUAGGAGGAACAUCAGUGGCGAAGGCGGCUUACUGGGCUUUAACUGACGCUGAGGCUCGAAAGCGUGGGGAGCAAACAGGAUUAGAUACCCUGGUA
rnacentral:rRNA from 1 species